CAAUAGCGUAUAUUAAAGUUGUUGCAGUUAAAAAGCUCGUAGUUGGAUUUGCGUUGGUGAAUGGGUUGUGGUCGCAAGACUAAGACUCGUUUCAGCAACAUUUUUUGGGAGCAGGGGUUCUUUGGCAUUGAGUUGUUGAGGUUCAACUACCCAUCGUUUACUGUGAAAAAAUUAGAGUGUUUCGAGCAGGGGUUAGUCCUUUGAAUAUAUUAGCAUGGAAUAAUAAGAUACGACUCGUAUGGUCUAUUUUGUUGGUUUGCACAUAUGAGUAAUGAUUAAUAGGGACAGUUGGGGGUAUUCAUAUUUGAGCGUCAGAGGUGAAAUUCUUGGAUCGCUGAAAGAGGAGCUAAGGCGAAAGCAUUUACCAAGGAUGUUUUCAUUAA
rnacentral:rRNA from 1 species